UGCAAGGCCCUAUGGGACACUGGAUUAUUGUGCCGACUCUCCAGACUCUCUCCCGUUCUAUGGAAGAUCUGUUACUGUGCUCUCCCCUGGUGACACAGCAGGACUUCUCAGUGCCUGACAGCAGCAAGGGCCCCACCCUCCCCUCAUCUGCAUCAUCAGAAAUACCACCAGACCCAGGUUGCCUUCAGAAGGAACCAGGCUGGCUGAUGGCGCUGCAGACCUGAAGUAACAUUCACUUCUACCCUGACAAUUUCUGCAGGGGAUGCUUUUCACGAUCGUCAAAUAUCUAAGGAAAGUCAACAACUGAUGGAGAAAUAAAGAAAACAUGAUACAUAUGAACGAUAAUUGAUGAAGUUAUAUAUUCCUUCGGUGAAAGAUAUAGAACAACCAGUCUGCAACUUAACUGGAAGCUUCUUCUUCCUGCUGGCUCGUUUUCAUGGUGUCAAAAAGUAUUGUGUGGGUGACUGUGAAUAAACAGUAUCAACAGCA